rnacentral:rRNA from 1 species
UACGUAGGGGGCUAGCGUUGUCCGGAUUUAUUGGGCGUAAAGAGCGUGUAGGCGGCCAGGUAGGUCCGUUGUGAAAACUCGAGGCUCAACCUCGAGACGUCGGCGGAAACCCUCUGGCUAGAGUCCGGAAGAGGAGAGUGGAAUUCCUGGUGUAGCGGUGAAAUGCGCAGAUAUCAGGAGGAACACCGGUGGCGAAGGCGGGUCUCUGGGCAGUAACUGACGCUGAGAAGCGAAAGCAUGGGGAGCGAACAGG